rnacentral:rRNA from 1 species
UACGGAGGGUGCAAGCGUUAUCCGGAUUUACUGGGUUUAAAGGGUGCGUAGGUGGGUAGGAAAGUCAGUGGUGAAAUCUUCGGGCUUAACCCGGAAACUGCCAUUGAUACUAUUUAUCUUGAAUACUUUGGAGGUAAGCGGAAUAUGUCAUGUAGCGGUGAAAUGCUUAGAUAUGACAUAGAACACCGAUUGCGAAGGCAGCUUACUACAGGGACAUUGACACUGAGGCACGAAAGCGUGGGGAUCAAACAGG